UGGAAGAAUAAAGUGUUGCUGAAGGGUUU
rnacentral:sRNA from 1 species